UGGGACUUAGAUGGUCUACAAAUAAGUAAUAAUGAGCAGCCACAAUGUAGCUGAGUUAAAUAAACUCAAUGCAUGAAGAAUUGUGUGAUAACAGCAUAGAAUCCAGACAACUCCUUACACUGUAAAUCAGUUUAGAUGUUUAACAUAUUCAAUACAAUGUUGAUUCUAAGAAAACACAUUUGAAUUAUUAGGAAAUUAUGAUCUCUGCAUGCACAUUAAAGACCAGAAUUCAUUACCUGGUCAUCAGGCAACAUUACCAAGGAGAAAUAGUGCAAGACCUCAGAGACCAAUCAUAGUUCAUGCUUUCCAUGAUGUAGAACACAGAAGGGAAAGCAUUAAGGAAAACCCCACAAGACUUUUCUCUCCCUACCCAUCACUAACGUAGCCAAAGGCCCUCUGGUCAUUGGAUGUUCUUCGUACGAACCUUCCAAAUUCUGAAGAAGCUUGGAAUUAAAUGUUUCAAAAACUAAUAGUCACAUAACUGUGGUGAUCUUUCUGGAAUUGAUCCAAUGCAUCAGCAGCAGAUCACAUGUUCUGAUGCUCUUUAGACAUGGAUGAUGAAAGACUGCCAUGUGAAUUUUUAAAUCAUUUUAUUAGAUAUUUUUCUUAAUUUACAUUUCAAAUUUUAUGUCCUUUCCAUUUCCCCUCCGAAAGCCCCCUAUUCUGUCCCUCCUCCCCCUGCUCACUAGCCACCCACUCUUCCUCCCCUGCCCUGGAUUCCCUUAUACUGGGGCACUGAGCCUUCACAAGACCAAGGGCCUCUCCUGUCACUGAUGUCCCACAAUGCCAUCCUCUGCUACAUAUGUAGCUAGAGACACGAGUUCAGGAGGUACUGGUUAGUUUAUAUUGUUGUUCCACCUAUAGGGUUGCAGACCCCUUCAGCUCCUUGGGAACUUUAUCUAACUCCUGCAUUGUGAGCCCUAUGUUCCAUCCAAUAGAUGACUGUGAGCAUCCACUUCUGUAUUUGCCAGGCACUGGCAUAGCCUCAUACAAGACAGCUAUAUCAGGGUCCCUUCAGCAAAAUCUUGCUGGCAUAUGCAAUAGUGUCUGGAUUUGGUGGCGGAUUAUGGGAUGGAUCCCCGGGUGGGGCAGUCUCUGGAUAGUCCAUCCUUUAGUCUUAGCUCCAAACUUUGUCUCUGUAACUCCUUUCAUGGGUAUUUUGUUCCCUAUUCUACGGAGGAAUGAAGUAUCCACCCAUUGGUCUUCCCUCUUCUUGAUUUUCUUGUGUUUUACAAAUUGUAUCUUGGGUGUUCAAUAUUUCUGGGCUAAUAUCCACUUAUCAGUGAGUGCAUAUCUAAUGACAUCUUUUGUGAUUGGGUUACCUCACUCAGGAUAUCCACCAGAUACAUCCAUUUAUCCAAGAAUUUCAUAAAUCCAUUGUUUUUAAUAGCUGAGUAGUACUCCAUUGUGUAAGUGUACCACAUUUUCUGUAUCCAUUCCUCUGUUGAGGGACAUCUGGGUUCUUUCCAGCUUCUGGCUAUUAUAAAUAAGGCUGCUAUGAACAUAGUGAAGCAUGUGUCCUUAUUACCAGUUGGAACACCUUCUGGGUAUAUCCCCAGAAGAGGUAUUGCUGGAUCUUCUGGUAGUACUGUGUCCCAUUUUCUGAGGAACCACCAGACGGACUUCCAGAGUGGUUGUAUAAGCUUGCAAUCCCACCAACAAUGGAGGAGUGGUCCUCUUUCUCCACAUCCUCGCCAGCAUCUGCUGAUACCUGAAUAUAUGAUCUUAGCCAUUCUGACGUGUGAGGUGGAAUCUCAGGGUUGUUUUGAUUUGCAUUUCCCUGAUGAGUAAGGAUGUCGAACAUUUUUUCAGGUGCUUCUCAGCCAUUCGGUAUUCCUCAGUUGAGAAUUCUUUGUUUAGCUCUGAACCCCAUUUUUAAUGGGGUUAUUUGAUUUUCUUGAGUCCAGCUUCUUGGAUAUUAGUCCUCUAUCAGACAGAGGAUUGGUAAAAAUCCUUUCCCAAUCUGUUGGUGGCCUUUUUGUCUUAUUGACCGUGUCUUUUGCCUUACAGAAGCUUUGCAAUUUUAUGAGGUCCCAUUUUUCAAUUCUUGAUCUUACAGCACAAGCCAUUGCUGUUCUGUUUAGGAAUUUUUCCCCUGUGCCCAUAUCUUCGAGGCUUUUCCCCACUUUCUCCUCUAUUAAUUUCAGUGUCUCUGGUCUUAUGUAGAGGUCUUUGAUCCACUUAGACUUGAGCUUUGUACAAGGAGAUAAGAAUGGAUCAAUUCGCAUUCUUCUACAUAACGGCCAGUUGUGCCAGCACCAUUUAUUGAAAAUGCUGUCUUUUUUUCCACUGGAUGGUUUUAGCUCCCUGUCAUAGAUCAAGUGACCAUAGAUGUGUGGACUCAUUUCUGGGUCUUCAAUUCUAUUCCAUUGAUCUACCUGUCUGUUGCUGUACCAGUACCAUGCAGUUUUUAUCACAAUUGCUCUGUAGUACAGCUUGAGGUGAGGCAUGGUGAUUCCACCAGAGGUUCUUUUAUUGUUGAGAAUACUUUUGCUAUCCUAGUUUUUUUUUUUUUUUAUUCCAGAUGAAUCUGUAAAUUGCCCUUUCUAACUCAGUGAAGAAUUGAUUUGGAAUUUUGAUGGGGAUUGCAUUGAAUCUGUAGAUUGCUUUCAGCAAGAUAGCCAUUUUUACUAUAUUAAUCCUGCCAAUCCAUGAGCAUGGGAGAUCUUUCCAUCUUCUGAGAUCUUCUUCAAUUUCUUUCUUCAGAAACUUGAAGUUCUUAUCAUACAGAUCUUUCACUUCCUUAGAGUCACACCAAGAUAUUUUAUAUUAUUUGUGACUAUUGUGAAGGGUGUUGUUUCCCUAAUUUCUUUCUCAUCCUGUUUAUCCUUUGUGUAGAGAAAGGCCAUUGAUUUAUUUGAGUUAAUUUUAUAUCCAGCUACUGCGCUGAAGCUGUUUAUCAGGUCUAGGAGUUCUUUGGUGGAAUUUUUGGGGUCACUUAUAUAUACUAUCAUAUCAUCUGCAAAAAGUGAUAUUUUGACUUCUUCCUUUCUAAUUUGUAUCCCCUUGAUCUCCUUUUGUAGUCUAAUUGCUCUGACUAGAACUUCAAGUACUAUAUUGAAUAGGUCAAUUUUAGAGGAGGUAUCAUGUGGCGCUAAGAAGAGGGUAUAUCCUUUUGUUUUAGGAUAAAAUGUUCUGUAGAUAUCAAUUGAAUCCAUUUGUUUCAUAACUUCUGUUAGUGUCCAUGUGUCUCUGUUUAGUUUCUGUUUCCAGGAUCUAUCCAUUGGUGAGAGUGGGUUGCUGAAGUCUCCCACUAUUAUUGUGUGAGGUGUAAUGUGUCCUUUGAGCUUUACUAAAGUUUCUUUAAUGAAUGUUGCUGCCCUUGUAUUUGGAGCAUAGAUAUUCAGAAUUGAGAGUUCCUCUUGGAAGAUUUUACCUUUGAUGAGUAUGAAGUGCCCUUCCUUUUCUUUUUUGAUAACUUUGGGUUGGAAGUCAAUUUUAUUCGAUAUUAGAAUGGGUACAUCUUAUUUCUUUGGACCAUUUGCUUGGAAAAUUGUUUUCCAGACUGUCACUCUGAAGUAGUGUCUGUCUUUUUCUCUAAGGUGGGUUUCCCGGAAGCAGCAAAGUGUUGGGUCCUGUUUGUGUAGCCAUUUCUGUUAGUCUAUGUCUUUUUAUUGGGGAAUUGAGUCCAUUGAUGUGAAGAGAAAUUAAAGAAAGUUAAUUGUUGCUUCCUGUUAUUUUUGUUGUUAAAGUUGGGAUUCUGUUCUUACGGCUGUCUUCUUUUAGGUUUGUUGAAAGAUUACUUUCUUGCUUUUUCUAGGGUGUGGUUUCCGUCGUUGUAUUGGUUUUUUUCUGUUAUUAUCCUUGAAGGGCUGGAUUCGUGGAAAGAUAAUGUGUGAAUGGUUUUGUCAUGGAAUACUUUGGUUUCUCCAUCUAUGGUAAUAGAAAGUUUGGCUGGGCAUAGUAGCCUGUGUUCUCUUAGUGUCUGCAUAACAUCUGUCCAGGAUCUUCUAGCUCUCAUAGUCUCUGGUGAAAAGUCUGGUGUAAUUCUGAUAGGCCUGCCUUCAUGUUACUUGACCUUUUUCCCUUACUGCUUUUAAUAUUCUAUCUUUAUUUAGUGCAUUUGUUGUUCUGAUUAUUAUGUGUCGGGAGGAAUUUCUUUUCUGGUUCAGUCUAUUUGGAGUUCUGUAGGCUUCUUGUAUGUUCAUGGGCAUCUCUCUCUUUCUUUAGGUUUGGGAAGUUUUCUUCUAUAAUUUUGUUGAAGAUAUUUGCUGGCCCUUUAAAGUGAAAAUCUUCAUUCUCUUCUACUCCUAUUAUCCAUAGGUUUGGUCUUGUCAUUGUGUCCUGGAUAUUUUGAGUUAGGAUCUUUUUGCAUUUUGCAUUUUCUUUGAUUGUUGUGCCCAUGUUCUCUAUGGAAUCUUCUGCACCCGAGAUUCUCCCUUCCAUUUCUUGUAAUUUGUUGCUGAUGCUCGCAUCUAUGGUUCCAGAUUUCUUUCCUAGGGUUUCUAUCUCCAGCGUUGCCUCACUUUGGGUUUUCUUUAUUGUUUCUACUUCCCUUUUUAGGUCUAGUAUGAUUUUGUUCAUUUCCAUCACCUGUUUGGUUGUGUUUUCCUGUUUUUCUUUAAGGACUUGUAACUCUUUAGCAGUGUUCCCCUGUAUUUCUUUAAGUGGUUUAUUAAAGUACUUCUUGAUGUCCUCUACCAUCAUCAUGAGAUAUGUUUUUAAAUUCAGGUCUAGCUUUUCGGAUGUGUUGGGGUAUCCAGGACUGGCUGAGGUGGGAGUGCUGGGUUCUGAUGAUGGUGAGUGGUCUUGGUUUCUGUUAGUAAGAUUCUUACAUUUGCCUUUUGCCAUCUGGUAAUCUCUGGAGUUAGUCGUUAUAGUUGUCUCUGGUUGGAGCUUGUUCCUCCUGUGAGUCUGUUAGCCUCUGUCAGCAGACCUGGGAGUCCAGCUCUCUCCUGAGUCUCAGUGGUCAGAGUACUCUCUGCAGGGAAGCUCUCCUCUUGCAGGGAAGGUGUACAGAUAUCUGGAGUUUGGACCUGCCUCCUAGCUGAAGAUGAAGGCCCAAAACAAGGCCUGUCCCAGAAGCUGUGUCGCUUCUAUAGUCUGCACUCUCACCUGUGCAGACUAGUCUCUGAGGGAUCCGGGACCCAAGAUGGCUCCCCCAGGAGCUCCAUCCGAGAGAGUCUAUCUUAAUACAUCACUGUCCUCAUGGGGAAAAAAAGAAGCAGAAAGAAAAAGGAAAUGUAGAGGAAUAUAGACGAGGAAAAAUGGAAGGAGAGAAGAGGAGAAGGAAGAAGAGACUACUUAAAACAUGUUAUUUCUGUUAUCAAAUAUGCAGAGAACUAUCUGCUUGUCAGUUUCUCUCCAGUAUGGUAUCUUUUAUGCUGUUUGUCUUAAUUUGGAUUUCAUUGCUGUGAAAAGAUACUAUGACCAAGGCAACUCUCAUAAAGGACAUUUAAUUGGGGGUAGUGUACAGAUUCAGAGGUUCAGUCUGAUAUCAUCAAGGCUGAAAAAGUGGCAAUGUCCAAGCAUACAUGGUGCUGGAUGAGACAAGAGUUCUACAUCUUGAACAGAAGGCGACCAGAAGACUCUUCUGCCCUGGGUGGAACUUAAGCAUAGAAUCACAAAGUCCACCCCCACUGUGACAUACUUUCUCAAAUGCCACAUCUACUCCAGAAAUGCCAUACUUCCUAAUACAACCACUUGCCAUGGACCAAGUAUAUUCACACCUUUCAAGAUCACUGAAAAGGCUUUUACCACAUUGGUUAUAUUCAUAGGGUUACUCUUUAGUGUUCUUUUAUGUAUUAUGAAUAGGCUUUACCAUAUUAUCUACAUGUGUAAGGUUUCUCUCCAGUAUGAAAUUCUUUUAUGUUUUCAAAUUUGACCAUGAGAGGCAAAGGAUUUACUACAUUGCUUACAUCAAUAGGGUUUCCCUCCAGUAUGUAUUCUUUUAUGCUCUCAAAGAUUAUGAUGGUGUGCAAAGGCUUUACCAUAUUCAUUACAUUUGUAAGGUUUCUCUCCAGUAUGAAUUCUUUCAUGACUUUGAAGUUGACCAUGAGAGGCAAAGGAUUUACUACAUUGCUUACAUUCAUGGGGUUUCUCUCCAGUAUGUGUUCUUUUAUGUACUUGGAGAUAACUAUGAUAUGCAAAUGCUUUACCACAUUGAUUACAGUUGUAAGGUUUCUCUCCAGUAUGACUUCUUUCAUGAAUUUGAAGUCCAUGAUGAGAGUCAAAGGAUUUACUACAAUGCUUACAUUCAUAGGGUUUCUCUUCAGUAUGUGUUCUUUUAUGUAUUUGGAGAGUACUAUGAUAUGCAAAUGCUUUACCACAUUGAUCACAUUUGCAAGGUUUCUCUCCAGUAUGAACUCUCUCAUGUCUUUUAAGACCAUUCUGAGCUACAAAGGCUUUACCACAUUGAUCACAUUUGUAUGGUUUCUCUCCAGUAUGAAUUCUUUCAUGACUUUGAAGUUGACCAUGAGAGGCAAAGGAUUUACUACAUUGCUUACAUUCAUAGGGCUUCUCUUCAGUAUGUGUUCUUUUAUGUACAUGGACAGUACUACGAUAUGCAAAUGCUUUACCACAUUGUUUACAUUUGUAAGGUUUCUCUCCAGUAUGACUUCUUUCAUGAAUUUGAAGUUGAUCAUGAGAGGCAAAGGAUUUACUACAUUGCUUACAUCCAUAGGGUUUCUCUCCAGUAUGUGUUCUUUUAUGUACUUGGAGAUAACUAUGAUAUGCAAAUGCUUUACCACAUUGAUCACAUUUGCAAGGUUUCUCUCCAGUAUGAACUCUCUCAUGUCUUUUAAGACCAUUCUGAGCUACAAAGGCUUUACCACAUUGAUCACAUUUAUAAGGUUUCUCUCCAGUGUGUAUUCUUUUAUGUACUCGCAGAUGACCAAGAUAUGCAAAGGCUUUACCACAGUGAUCACAUUCAUAGGGUUUCUCUCCUGUAUGUGUUCUUUUAUGUAUUUGGAGAUUACCGUGUUGUGCAAAGGCUUUACCACAUUGAUUACAUUCAUAGGGUUUCUCUCCAGUAUGUGUUCUUUUAUGUAUUUGCAGAGUACUGUGUUGUGCAAAGGCUUUGCCACAUUGAUUGCAUUUGUAGGGUUUCUCUCCAGUAUGUAUUAUUUGGAGACUACUUUGAUGUACAAAGGCUUCACCAUACUGAAUACCUUCAUAGGGUUUCUCUCCAGUAUGAAUUUUUUCAUGCCUUUGAGGAUAACUGUGACUUGCAAAGUCUUUACCACACUGAAUAUUUUCAGAGGGU
rnacentral:lncRNA from 1 species